rnacentral:rRNA from 1 species
GGUCAAGCGAAUAAGCGCACACGGUGGAUGCCUAGGCGGUCAGAGGCGAUGAAGGACGUGGUAGCCUGCGAAAAGUGUCGGGGAGCUGGCAACAAGCUUUGAUCCGGCAAUAUCCGAAUGGGGAAACCCACUGCUUCGGCAGUAUCCUGCAGUGAAUUCAUAGCUGCUGGAAGCGAACCCGGUGAACUGAAAUAUCUAAGUAACCGGAGGAAAAGAAAUCAACCGAGAUUCCCUAAGUAGUGACGAGCGAACGGGGAACAGCCCUUAAGCUGGAAUGGCUUUAGAAAAACAAUCUGGAAAGAUUGGCCAUAGAAGGUGAUAGCCCUGUAUUUAAAAGGGCCACUCCAGUGAAGACGAGUAGGGCGGGGCACGUGAAACCCUGUCUGAAUAUGGGGGGACCAUCCUCCAAGGCUAAAUACUCCUGACCGACCGAUAGUGAACCAGUACCGUGAGGGAAAGGCGAAAAGAACCCCGGAGAGGGGAGUGAAAUAGAUCCUGAAACCGUGUGCGUACAAGCAGUAGGAGCUCGCAAGAGUGACUGCGUACCUUUUGUAUAAUGGGUCAGCGACUUACUGUUCGUGGCAAGCUUAACCGUAUAGGGGAGGCGAAGGGAAACCGAGUCUGAUAAGGGCGCAUAGUCGCGGGCAGUAGACCCGAAACCGGGUGAUCUAGUCAUGGCCAGGGUGAAGGUGCCGUAACAGGUACUGGAGGCCCGAACCCACGUCUGUUGCAAAAGACGGGGAUGAGCUGUGAUUAGGAGUGAAAAGCUAAUCGAACCCGGAGAUAGCUGGUUCUCCUCGAAAGCUAUUUAGGUAGCGCCUCGGACGAAUACUACUGGGGGUAGAGCACUGUUAUGGCUAGGGGGUCAUCGCGACUUACCAAACCAUUGCAAACUCCGAAUACCAGUACGUACUAUCCGGGAGACACACGGCGGGUGCUAACGUCCGUCGUGAAAAGGGAAACAACCCAGACCCACAGCUAAGGUCCCAAAUUCACUGCUAAGUGGAAAACGAUGUGGAAAGGCAUAGACAGCCAGGAGGUUGGCUUAGAAGCAGCCACCCUUUAAAGAAAGCGUAAUAGCUCACUGGUCGAGUCGGUCUGCGCGGAAGAUUUAACGGGGCUAAGCAGUGAACCGAAGCUUGGGGUGCAUAAAACUUGUUUUAUGCGCGGUAGAGGAGCGUUCCGUAAGCCUGCGAAGGUGGAUUGAGAAGUCCGCUGGAGGUAUCGGAAGUGCGAAUGCUGACAUGAGUAACGAUAAUGCGGGUGAAAAGCCCGCACGCCGAAAGCCCAAGGUUUCCUUGCGCAACGUUAAUCGACGCAGGGUUAGUCGGUCCCUAAGGCGAGGGCGAAAGCCGUAGUCGAUGGGAAGCAGGUUAAUAUUCCUGCACCUCGCGUGAGUGCGAUGGAGGGACGGAGAAGGUUAGGUGUACCGGGCGUUGGUUGUCCCGGGGAAAGGCGGUAGGUUUGGAUCUUUGGCAAAUCCGGGAUCCUUUAAGACCGAGCACCGAGACGAGCCUUUAUGGCGAAGUCACUGAUACCACGCUUCCAGGAAAAGCUCCUAAGCUUCAGCUCACGAAGACCGUACCGUAAACCGACACAGGUGGGUAGGAUGAGAAUUCUCAGGCGCUUGAGAGAACUCGGGUGAAGGAACUAGGCAACAUGGCACCGUAACUUCGGGAGAAGGUGCACCCUUUUUGGUGGCUCAUGCGAGCUAUAGCUGAAGAGGGUCGCAGAAACCAGGCCGCUGCGACUGUUUAUCAAAAACACAGCACUCUGCAAACACGAAAGUGGACGUAUAGGGUGUGACGCCUGCCCGGUGCUGGAAGGUUAAUUGAUGGGGUCAGCCGCAAGGCGAAGCUCUUGAUCGAAGCCCCAGUAAACGGCGGCCGUAACUAUAACGGUCCUAAGGUAGCGAAAUUCCUUGUCGGGUAAGUUCCGACCUGCACGAAUGGCGUAACGACAGCGGCGCUGUCUCCACCCGAGACUCAGUGAAAUUGAAAUCGCUGUGAAGAUGCAGCGUUCCCGUGGCAAGACGGAAAGACCCCGUGAACCUUUACUAUAGCUUUACACUGAACGUUGAGUUCGUCUGUGUAGGAUAGGUGGGAGGCUAUGAAACUGUGGCGCUAGCUGCAGUGGAGCCAUCCUUGAAAUACCACCCUGUCGUGCUUGACGUUCUAACCUAGGUCCGUUAUCCGGAUCAGGGACCGUGUAUGGUGGGUAGUUUGACUGGGGCGGUCUCCUCCUAAAGAGUAACGGAGGAGCACGAAGGUACGCUCAGCGCGGUCGGACAUCGCGCACUGUGUGCAAAGGCAUAAGCGUGCUUGACUGCAAGAUCGACGGAUCAAGCAGGUACGAAAGUAGGUCUUAGUGAUCCGGUGGUUCUGUAUGGAAGGGCCAUCGCUCAACGGAUAAAAGGUACUCCGGGGAUAACAGGCUGAUACCGCCCAAGAGUUCAUAUCGACGGCGGUGUUUGGCACCUCGAUGUCGGCUCAUCACAUCCUGGGGCUGUAGUCGGUCCCAAGGGUAUGGCUGUUCGCCAUUUAAAGUGGUACGCGAGCUGGGUUCAGAACGUCGUGAGACAGUUCGGUCCCUAUCUGCCAUGGGCGUUGGAAGUUUGAGAGGGGCUGCUCCUAGUACGAGAGGACCGGAGUGGACGAACCUCUGGUGUUCCGGUUGUCACGCCAGUGGCAUUGCCGGGUAGCUAUGUUCGGAAGCGAUAACCGCUGAAAGCAUCUAAGCGGGAAGCGCGCCUCAAGAUGAGACUUCCCGGGGCACAAGCCCCCUAAAGGAACCAUGUAGACUACGUGGUUGAUAGGUCAGGUGUGUAAGUACAGCAAUGUAUUGAGCUAACUGAUACUAAUGAUCCGUGCGGCUUGACCAU